GAAAUGGCCUGGCAGCAGAGGUAUUUUCUGAAUCCGUGCCUCAGCUGCUGUUGCAGGAGCACCCCAGGAAUUCCUCUCCUUCUCUCCUUUCCCUGAUGCCCUGGUGUGUUUUAUGCAGGAUUUUCUACAUGGAUAUGUGGCGAGUGACUCUGGGCCACGAUGCCAGGAGGGAUUUGGGCUUGGAGCAGACAUGGAGGAUGCCAUGUUCCUCUUUGGAUGGCCACAAAAUCCCGGCAGAUCACAGCAUCUGAAAGCUGCUGCUCUCAUAUCAGGCAGAGGGAGCUCAUUCUGAAACCCCUGGAGCUGCCGUGUGGAAUGGGAUCAUCCUGCCAGGGAGAUCCAGCACCCACCUGCUGUUGGAUUAAGCUCUUUUCUGAUCCAGAGAUGGGGCAACUGAGAGGUGUUUAAAAACCUUUUAUUCCAUUUUCAGUUUCAUGUGAAGGGUGAGACAAUACAGAUGUUACAAUUCAUUGUAUUACUAUUAGAAGUUAACUAUUUCCUAAUUACAAAACAAUAUAGGCGUUUCUUGGUCUAUCA